UACGUAGGGGGCAAGCGUUGUCCGGAAUUAUUGGGCGUAAAGCGCGCGCAGGCGGUCAUUUAAGUCUGGUGUUUAAUCCCGGGGCUCAACUCCGGGUCGCACUGGAAACUGGGUGGCUUGAGUGCAGAAGAGGAGAGUGGAAUUCCACGUGUAGCGGUGAAAUGCGUAGAGAUGUGGAGGAACACCAGUGGCGAAGGCGACUCUCUGGGCUGUAACUGACGCUGAGGCGCGAAAGCGUGGGGAGCGAACAGG
rnacentral:rRNA from 1 species